rnacentral:lncRNA from 1 species
AACCUAAUUAUCGUGGGUGGAGGAGUCUGGUGACUCAAGGGGAAAUGUGGAAUUCUCUUUCUAGGCUGAAUCGUUGAGAAAGGCUGGUUGGACAAUGACGAUCAUUUGGAGAGCCGAGCACGCUCCGUGUUUAUCAAAUUCCAAGGGGGAGAUAGUCACAAAGACCUAUUACACGAUUUGUUAUGCCUAAUGACCAUCAUGCCUGUAUGCACCUGUGCCCGUGUACGCCUGUGGGAUUAGAAUAGGGCACUGGAGUCCCUGGGACUGGAGUCACAUGCUUUUGACAGCUGCACCUUUGAGCCAUCUCUCCAGCCCCAUGAAUCCAAGCUCUCCCGCUGCUGAAACAACGUUCUGAAUGUGGAGCUGAGGAGUCGGCUUGGCUUGGUGGUUAAGAGCACUUGUUGCUCCUGCAGAGAACAUGGAGUUCCGAUUCUCAGCACUCACAUGGCAGCUCUGUUGUCUGUUACUCCAAGAGCUAUGGUGUCCUCUUCUGGCCUCUGUGGGCACCACCCAUGCACACACCCAUGCACAGACAUAUAUCCAUACACAUUAAAAAAAGAUCAGGGGCUGGUGAGAUGUCUCAGUGGGUAAGAGCACCCGACUGCUCUUCGGAAGGUCCAGAGUUCAAAUCCCAGCAACCACAUGGUGGCUCACAACCAUCUGUAACAAGAUCUGACGCCCUCUUCUGGAGUGUCUGAAGACAGCUACAGUGUACUUACAUAUAAUAAAUAAAUAAAUAAAUAAAUCUUAAAAAAAUUUUAAAAAAAGAUCA